GACGAACGCUGGCGGCGUGCCUAACACAUGCAAGUCGAACGAACGGUCCGGGAGUUGGCGCCCCUGAUGUUGGCGGCGGACGGGUGAGUAACAUGUGGUCAACCUACCUAUACGACAGGGAUAACAACGGCAAACCGUAGCUACGGCCGGAAGAUAUUUUGAACUGGAUGGUUCAAAAGUUAAAUUCGGUCUUGCUUACGCUAACAGACGGACCCGCGCUGCAUUAGCUAGUUGGCUAGGUAACGGCUUACCCAGGCAACGAUGCAUAGCCGGCCCGAGAGGGUGAUCGGCCACACUGGAACUGGGCCACGGUCCAGACUCCUACGGGAGGCAGCAGUAGGGAAUCUUCCGCAAUGGGCGAAAUCCUGACGGAGCGACGCCGCGUGAGUGAUGAAGGUCUUCGGAUCGUAAAACUCUGUUAUUAGGGAAGAACAUAUGUGUAAGUAACUGUGCACAUCUUGACGGUACCUAAUCAGAAAGCCACGGCUAACUACGUG
rnacentral:rRNA from 1 species